AUUCUCCAGACUAGCCAUGCACGUCUAAGUACAAACUAAAUGAUGGUGAAACUGCAAAUGGCUCAUUACAACGGUUAUGAUGUACCCGGGAGUUCCGAUGGAUAUUUCCAGUAACACUAGAACUAAUACAUGUCCCUGCGUUUAUUAGUUUCGCACAGUCCGUCGCUGAGUCAUGGUAAACAGUUGAUCGACUCGACGUCCCGGAACAGUUUCCGCCCCAUCAGCUUCGAUGGUUGGGUAUUGGCCUACCAUUGCAACAACGGGUAACGAGGAAUUAGGGUUUGAUUUCGGAGAGGGAGCCUGAGAAACGGCUACCACAUCUACGGAUGGCAGCAGGCGCGCAAAUUACCCAAUGCAGACACUGUGAGGUAGUGACGAGAAAUAAUAAAGCGGGACUUCUGUUUCGCUAUUAUAAUGAGGAAUAACCAAAGGUCAUUCCGAUUAGCAACUGAUGGGAAAGUCUGGUGCCAGCAGCCGCGGUAAUACCAGCGUCAGUAGCA
rnacentral:rRNA from 1 species